rnacentral:rRNA from 1 species
AGCGGCGCACGGGUGCGUAACACGUAUGCAACCUACCCUUAACAGGGGAAUAACCCCGCGAAAGCGGGGCUAAUACCCCAUAUCAUUACGUUAUGGCAUCAUGAUGUACUAAAAGAUUUAUCGGUUAAGGAUGGGCAUGCGCCCCAUUAGCUAGUUGGUAAGGUAACGGCUUACCAAGGCAAUGAUGGGUAGGGGUUCUGAGAGGAUUAUCCCCCACACUGGUACUGAGACACGGACCAGACUCCUACGGGAGGCAGCAGUAAGGAAUAUUGGGCAAUGGGCGAGAGCCUGACCCAGCCAUGCCGCGUGCAGGAAGACGGCCUUAUGGGUUGUAAACUGCUUUUUUUAUGGGACUAACCUACCGUACGUGUACGGUACUGCAUGUACCAUAGGAAUAAGCAUCGGCUAACUCCGUGCCAGCAGCCGCGGUAAUACGGAGGAUGCAAGCGUUAUCCGGAAUUAUUGGGUUUAAAGGGUGCGUAGGCGGGCUGGUAAGUCAGUGGUGAAAUUUCCAUGCUUAACAUGGGAGCUGCCAAUGAUACUGCCAGUCUAGAGUUUAGUUGACGUUGGCGGAAUGUGUCAUGUAGCGGUGAAAUGCAUAGAUAUGACACAGAACACCGAUAGCGAAGGCAGCUGACGAAACUAUAACUGACGCUGAUGCACGAAAGCGUGGGGAUCAAACAGGAUUAGAUACCCU